GUUUUGUAAUUGGCGAACAGUCACUUUUCUGUCCGUUUGAUUCUCUUGAUUUGCACCACUCUUGGCGCGCCCAUAACGUUCCUUUUGGGCUCAUUCUGGGCCUUGCCCAUGGAGACGCUCUAGCAGUUCCGGCGGAAGAACUGCCUGUCAUUUCGUUUGACUUGGGGACGAUGUGAAGAGGCGGAGAUGGUCACGGCGGAGAGAUCCGCAGGGACCCCGCACCAGCCACGCCGGAUAUGAAGACAGUGGUGGUUCGCUGGGGCGGACGCCUGGGACGCCACCGACGAGACGGGUACUCCUCGGCCUCCUUUGUGUGCUUUGCUCCUCUGUUCGAUUUGCUCGCUGGUGUGAGGAUUUGGUCGGCGGUGCUAGUCGGAGUUAGCGCGACCGCCGUGGGGAGCUGCGGGGUUAACUUUCGAUUCCUGCAGCGCGCCUAAGGAUUCAGACGACAGGCGCGGCGGCGCUACCAUGGGGUCCUCAGCGGGAUAUUUCAGCGCUGGAGAGCGCGACACAUUGGAUUCCCCCUCAUUGCAUCUCCUAUCAUGUCAAGGACUCCUUUGCUUAAGAUCUGAUGUGCGAAAAGCUUGAAUAGCUCAGGGUUAGGUUGUUCAUGAUAGUGGUGUCCCAGUGCCCAUUUUGCCAGAAGCAAGCAUCCAGGACGAUGAAAAUAUUCAGGCCAUCAAAAUGUGUUAGGACAUAUGUGUGAUGUUCUUUGGACUGCAUUCUUCCCAUGACAAGCGUGUUGUGAUAUCGGGCAUGAUUGAAGCCUUGAGGGCUUGGGUCACAUUUACUUCCCAUGAUGAUCUGCUAAAAUGGAAAACGAUGGGCUUGUGUGUAAAUAAUAAUUCUAGCAGUCUACCUAGCUCUUGUACAGAGACACCACAUUUUGGGUGCACAUUCACUGCAUAGUCUCCUGUCAUUAAAACUCUUCAACUAGUGAUCAGUUCUGACACGAUACGAAACUAGAUGUGAGAAUUCUAUAAAAUCAUAUCUGGAGAGUGGAGUUGGCAUGAUUUAAAAUCAUAUCUGCUCCAAUUUAAACUUAUAUCUAGCUCCUCUGCGUUUUCAUUUUUUCGCGGUCUCGCUGGUAAUGUUGUUGGCGCUAGGUCUGCGUAGUUAGUGAUUCAUUUGUGCAGUGUAGGUAGUUCAAUUUUUUUAUGAGGUAGCGUUGCUGCUGUACUUGUGGAGCUGAUGCCUCCAGCCGCUUCACGGUCAUGGAAAACCUCCAGAGUGGUGUUGAAGGCGGAGGUUGCUGUGGGGAGUAGGACGUCGAGCUCUCUAUGGGUUCGUGUUGAGCAGGAGGCCGAGCUCGUUGAAGUUGAAUUAUGGGUUAUAUCAGGUUUUAUCUGAUUUCGUGUUCUUUGUUGUUUCAGUUCCAUCUCUAGUUUAGGCUUCAAGUUUGGUGUGUAAGAUUGUCUUAUUAUAUUAGUGCUUAGUUGAUUUUCUGGGCAUGUUAUUCUUAGUUUGUUUGACCAGAAUUUUCAUGUCUUCUGGUGUGCUCACAGCUUGAAUACGUUAGGUUCUAGUUCUGUUGUUUCAGCAUGAUUUUUUCCUGAUGUAUGAUUCUGUUACUUAGUUGAUUAUGGGUUAGUUUUGCAUUUGAGGGUUUUGUGUGUUGUCAGCAUAGUUUGCGUUCUCAUAGCUUAAUAGAUAUGUCUGCUGCAUCCACUUGGGCGAUAAAGUAGCUGAGCUAAAAAAAAAAAGCAGCUAGCUUCAGAAUGAGUAGAGAAUUUCCAUCCAAUCAUUGAUCUAACCUGAGCAUGACUCCCUAUUCUUCUGGUGCAUACACUUCUAAGUUAUUGACAGCAGAACAGAGCGCUCAACACAUGUGGGUUGCAAAUGAGCUUACAACUCUGUAAUCAAUCAAGAUUUUCAGCUGACGAACUAGAGCCAUCAAGACAAUAUGCACUGGUUAUCAACUGCGAAUGGAGAGAACUUGAAAUUCUGCAAUCCAGGUUGAUUCAACCAAUGGAGUGCUGAGUCCAGAACCAUCACCAUCACCAGCAAUGACGAUCUCAGUCUGGAUGGUGCUCCAGGCAUUGCGGCUGAAAUAGGCUGGUGCUUAAUUGCUUGUCUUAUUUCAGUUUGCACCCUCUUUUUAUUUCACUAUCGUUUUGUUUAGUCCGUUCCAUCAGUCUUCCAGUCUCUUAGUUUCUCAGGGUUUUCUUGAGUGUCUCUCAUUUUUUGGCCUUUCUUUCUUUCUUUCUUUCUUUCUUAGUGCCUCAUUUCAUUUCUUAAGCGUCUCAGUUCUUCAGUAUCUUAUUCAUCAGCAUUCCAGUCUUCUGUUUUUUUUUCUUAUCCAUUUCUUCAUGUUUUAGUUCUCUUUCUUUUUCUCUGUCCUUUAGUGUCUCUUUCUCCAGUCUCACAACACCUUAGUUCAGAGUUAUUCUUCAGUAUCUUUGUUCAUUCUAUUUCGUUUUCAUUUUUCAGUUAUGUUUUCUUCCGGUCUACCGUUUUCUCUGUUUUUCAGUCUCUCUUUCUGUAGUAUUUCUGCAUAGGAACAACACCUUAGUUCAAUGUUGUAUUCUUGGAGUCAUUCUUUAAUUAUCUCAGUUUAGCAGUGGAAAACAUUGUUAUCUUGAGUUUAGCUCAGUCCUCUAAUUUACGGUGUUUGUUUCUUCUAGUCUCUCGUGUAGGUCAGUUUAGCAUUACAAUAGGAAUUCCAUUUCUAUCUUCAUUCUUCCGUGUUGGUUUCUUCCAAUGUCUCGCUUUCUCUAUCCUUCAGUGUCUUUCUAGUAUUUUCCCAGCAGCAUGUCUGUUUCUUUCUUUAGAUUUUAGUGUCUCUUUCUUUAGUCUUCAGUUAUUAAGUUAUAUUUUUUAGUGUUUUAUCCUUCCUCAAUCUUCUUUUUAAACUCCACAUCUUCUCAGUGUUUUUGCAACUCAAUAUUUCUUGAGCCUUCAGCUUGUCUUUCUUGAGUUUCUAGCAGCAUAGUCUUUCUGUCUUCAGUACUUUAGUUUUACUUCUUUAUCUCUGUCAUUUCUUCAGUUUCCCGGUUUAUUAUUUUUACAAUUAUAUCAUUUUAUUUGUCAGUCACUAGUAACUCAGUACUUUGCAAUCUCUCAGUCCUGAUGGUUUUGUCUAGUAGUGCAAAACAUUCGUAUGUUAGUAUCUUGAGUUCCUCAUUCUAUCAUAUUAGACAUAGAUUUGCUACUUCAUGCUUUGAUUGUCUCAGUUUUUCAGAGUAGCAUGUCAGUUAGUGGCAAACUGGGUAAGUGACACUUGGUUUGUUCACUUAUCAUGCUACUCGCUAGCGCGAAAACCUUGGUUGCCGCCUUGCCGGUUGUGUUCGGGCACUCCUCUGUCCUUUGUUUAUUUUGUGCUCUGAAUUUUUAUCUUCUAUUAACUUGCCUUUGUAUUUUUUUUGGCUGGGGCGUGGUUUUUGGGGUGCGGUAACCGUCAAUAUUUUUUCCUCAAUCAUCGGCAAAUAUAUGUUCAGUUUUGUCCUUUAAUAUUUUUUGUUCUACUUUACACUAGAGGUAGUUUCUUUUGUUUUUAUUUCAGUUUUGAAUAGAUUGUAGGUAAACAAGAGUACAUAAAAGCAGGUGGCAAGCCAGGUACGUAACACCAUCCCUCAAGGCAUAUGUGUUUGAACACAUCCUUUUGCUAGUUCUGCAUCUACUAGUAGUUUUGAAUCUGACAGGAUAAAAAUUCAUGUUUCACAUCACGGAACGUUCAGGAACAUACCUUGGACUUCAGAGAAUCUUCAAUCUGAUGUAGGUCUUCUUGCAUAGCCUGCUUGUCUUCUCCUUUGGUGCUUGCAGACCUCGAUCUGAUUAUUUCUUUCCUUUUUUCCUUUACUUUUUUGUGGGAGUUUCUCGAUCUUGUUGUUCCUGAAAUGAUCAGCGGAAGCUUUUUUGUGUCGAAGGAGUGGGUGAGCUCGUGCGAUAUUUGCUUGUUGGACAAGAAGGUUGAUCAGGUGUUAUGCGCUUACAGGGGUUUUAUAUUACUUGUUUUUUGGGCUUUGCAUGUUAUGGAGCCUUAGGUUGCAUGUUCUUAACAUGGGCUGCAUCAACGUGGUAUGGGACAAUGAGCCGUUGAAACUCAGUGUACACUCAAAAAUGUAAAACGGCAACGUCCACUGAAUGUGCCUGUUCUCACGACUGAAAACAGACACUUUUUUGGUUAACUGAAUCAUUUUCAUUGAGUUAUUGACUA